AACGCUAGCUACAGGCUUAACACAUGCAAGUCGAGGGGAAACGACAUCGAAAGCUUGCUUUUGAUGGGCGUCGACCGGCGCACGGGUGAGUAACGCGUAUCCAACCUGCCCACCACUUGGGGAUAACCUUGCGAAAGUAAGACUAAUACCCAAUGAUAUCCCACGAAGGCAUCCGAAUGGGAUUAAAGAUUUAUCGGUGAUGGAUGGGGAUGCGUCUGAUUAGCUUGUUGGCGGGGUAACGGCCCACCAAGGCAACGAUCAGUAGGGGUUCUGAGAGGAAGGUCCCCCACAUUGGAACUGAGACACGGUCCAAACUCCUACGGGAGGCAGCAGUGAGGAAUAUUGGUCAAUGGGCGAGAGCCCGAACCAGCCAAGUAGCGUGCAGGACGACGGCCCUAUGGGUUGUAAACUGCUUUUAUAAGGGAAUAAAGUGAGUCUCGUGAGACUUUUUGCAUGUACCUUAUGAAUAAGGACCGGCUAAUUCCGUGCCAGCAGCCGCGGUAAUACGGAAGGUCCGGGCGUUAUCCGGAUUUAUUGGGUUUAAAGGGAGCGUAGGCCGGAGAUUAAGCGUGUUGUGAAAUGUAGUGGCUCAACCUCUGCACUGCAGCGCGAACUGGUCUUCUUGAGUACGCACAACGUGGGCGGAAUUCGUGGUGUAGCGGUGAAAUGCUUAGAUAUCACGAAGAACUCCGAUUG
rnacentral:rRNA from 1 species